GGUCGGAUUGCGGCCUGAUUGAACGCUGGCGGGAUGCUUUAAGACAUGCAAGUCGAAACCGGCACGGACUUCGGUCUGGUGGCGAGGGAAGCGAACAGGUGAGAAUGAAUGGAACGCCUAGGUAUGGGGAUAACUAUGCGAAAGCGUAGCUAAUACUGCACGUUCGGGGAAAGCGGGGACCUUCGCCCCCGCACUAUUAGAGCGGCCGAUAAUGGAUUAGCUAGUUGGUGGGGUAACGCUCACCAAGGCGACGAUCCGUAGCUGGUUUGAGAGGACGAACCAGCCACACUCGGGACUGAGACACGCUCCAGACUCCUACGGAGGCAGCAGUGGGGAAUUUUUGACAGUGGGAAACCCUGAUCCAGCCAUCCUGCGUGUGCUAGGCGAUGAAGGCCUUCGGGGUUGUAAAGCACUUUUGGCAGGAAAGAAACGGCACGGGAUAAUACCCGCAACUGACGGUACUCGUAGAAUAAGCACCGGCUAACUACGUGCCAGCAGCCGCAGCAUGUAGGGUAAGCGUUAAUCGGAAUUACCGGCGUAAAGGUGCAGCAGGCGGUUCGAAAGAAAGAUGUGAACCUAGAGCUUAACUUUGGAACUGGGUGAGAAUCACCGAGCUAGAGGUCAGAGGAGGAAUUUUAUGGGGGAGUGAAAUGCGUAGAUAUGGAGGAACAUUCGAUGGCGAAGGCAGCCUCCUUGACACUGACGCUCAUGCACGAGCGUGGGGGAGCAAACAGGAUUAGAUACUCCUGGCAGUCCACGCCCCAAACGAUGUCAACUAUUGUUAGCUCGGGCUCGGGUAGCGCAGCUAACGCGUUAUGAAGCCGACCGCCCGUAGAGCAUGGGAAUGAUUAAAACUCAAAGGAAUCGACGGGACCCGCAAUAAGCGGUGAUGAUGGACGAAAUUCUGAUGCAACGCGAAAACCUGGCCUACCCUGACAUGUCUGAAUCCCGAAGAGAUUUGGAGUGCUCGCAGAGAACCGGAACACAGGUGCUGCAUGGCUGUCGUCAGUCGCCGUAGAUGCUGUUGUCCCGGCAACGAGCGCAACCCUUGUCAUUAGUUGCUGCUGAAAGGGCACUGAUGAGAUCACAGACAAACCGGAGGAAGGUGGGGAUGACGUCAAGUCCCCUUGGCCCUUAUGGGUAGGGUUUACGUCAUGGCUAAAUGGUCGACAAAGAGGUCGCCAACCUGCGAGGGGGAGCCAAUCCCAGAAACCCGAUCGUAGUCCGGAUCGCGUCUGCAACCGACUGCGCGAAGUCGAAUCGCUAACUGCAAUCGCGGAUCAGUAUGUCAGAAUAGCGUUCCUGGUCUUGUACACACCGCCCGCUUACCAUGGGAGUGGGUUUACUGGCAUGAGUUACCUAAUCCGUGUAACAUGGGCGAUUACUGCUAAUGGUAUAGAUUCAUGACCGGGGGUGAAGUCGUAACAAGGUGCAAU
rnacentral:rRNA from 1 species